rnacentral:rRNA from 1 species
UUGAACGCUGGCGGCAGGCCUAACACCUGCAAGUCGAGCGGAUGAAGGGAGCUUGCUCCUGGAUUCAGCGGCGGACGGGUGAGUAAUGCCUAGGAAUCUGCCUGGUAGUGGGGGAUAACGUCCGGAAACGGGCGCUAAUACCGCAUACGUCCUGAGGGAGAAAGUGGGGGAUCUUCGGACCUCACGCUAUCAGAUGAGCCUAGGUCGGAUUAGCUAGUUGGUGGGGUAAAGGCCUACCAAGGCGACGAUCCGUAACUGGUCUGAGAGGAUGAUCAGUCACACUGGAACGGAGACACGGUCCAGACUCCUACGGGAGGCAGCAGUGGGGAAUAUUGGACAAUGGGCGAAAGCCUGAUCCAGCCAUGCCGCGUGUGUGAAGAAGGUCUUCGGAUUGUAAAGCACUUUAAGUGGGGAGGAAGGGCAGUAAGUUAAUACCUUGCUGUUUUGACGGUACCAACAGAAUAAGCACCGGCUAACUUCGUG